rnacentral:rRNA from 1 species
UGGGGAAUAUUGGACAAUGGGGGGAACCCUGAUCCAGCAAUGCCGCGUGUGUGAAGAAGGCCUUCGGGUUGUAAAGCACUUUCAGUGGGGAGGAAGGGGCGUGAGUUAAUACCUCACGUCAUUGACGUUACCCACAGAAGAAGCACUGGCUAACUCUGUGCCAGCAGCCGCGGUAAUACAGAGGGUGCAAGCGUUAAUCGGAAUGACUGGGCGUAAAGCGUGUGUAGGUGGUUAGAUAAGUUAGAUGUGAAAUCCCCGGGCUUAACCUGGGCACUGCGUUUAAGACUGUUUAACUAGAGUACUGUAGAGGAUAGUGGAAUUUCCAGUGUAGCGGUGAAAUGCGUAGAUAUUGGAAGGAACACCAGUGGCGAAGGCGACUAUCUGGAUAGAUACUGACACUGAGACACGAAAGCGUGGGGAGCAAACAG